CAAUAUGCUCGGUAUAUACCCAGACACCAAAAAGUCACAAAGUCCCUAAGACUUGGCCUGAUCAAGGAAUCCUCAUCAGGAUGAUCAACAACUAGCAGUAAAUAAACUGGACACAGUUUGAACAUCAGAAGAUCCAGAUUCCGAUGUCGGGAAGUUAGUUCCACUCUCCCCAAGCAGACUUAAGGCCCAACCUUGUUUGG
rnacentral:lncRNA from 1 species